rnacentral:rRNA from 1 species
GUCUAUGGCCAGAUCACCUUGGAUCCACCCGAUCUUUUCUGAUCUCAGAGGCUAAGCAAGGUCUGGCCUGGUUAGUACUUGGAUGAGAGGGAAAAAAAUCUGAGUAACAGACG